CCUGGUUAAGCACACAUAGUUGAAACACAAGGAUUCAUGCAAGGAUCCCAGUUUGAGCCCUGGCUCCCCCUCUGCAGAGGGGUCUCUUUACAAGUGGUGAAGCAGGUCUUCAGGUCUCUCUUUCUUUCUCUCUUCCUCUCUCUCUGUGUGUGUGUGUGUGUGUGUCUUCCCCUCCACUCUCAAUUUCUCUCCAUUCUAUCCAAUAAAAUGGGAAAAAAUGGCUGCCAGGAGCAGUGAAUUCAUAGUGCUGGCAUUGAGCCCCAGCAAUAACCCUGGAGGCAAAAAAAAAAAAAAAAAAAACAGGGGUCAGGAAGGCAACUCAGGAUAGACUGUGGAACUUGUAUGCAUGCAAUUCCUGACACCAUGUAUGGUGGUACAGUGCCCUACUAGCUUGAUCUCUCUCAUCCAAAAGCACACACAGGAUGGAGAAAAAACAGAGUGGAGGUCCUGGUGCCUGAUGAUGGAGAAGGACCCUGCCUACGAAUGAGACUUUUGCAGAAAAUUGAGAAAUUUUACACAGGUGUCAACAACUGUAUUUGAGGCUUGGAGGUGGACAUAAGGGCAUAGAACUGAGGAAGAAAGAACCCUUCCAAGGAGCUGUUUUGAAAAGCACUUACCUGUUUUCUACUAAUGUGCAGAACAAAGGUUGUCAACUUCUAUGUCUCUGGCAUGAGCAUCAUAACAAGCUAAACUCUACAGGAGAUUUGGGACCCAUACCUCAUUUGCUUAAAGAGUGCCAUCUGAUGUCAGUGACCUGAACUGAAUUAAUUUUGUUAAUAAAACUGACUGAACUUA